rnacentral:rRNA from 1 species
ACGGGAGGCAGCAGUGGGGAAUAUUGGGCAAUGGGCGAAAGCCUGACCUAGCGACGCCGCGUGAAGGAAGACGAUCUUCGGAUUGUAAACUUCUUUUAUAGGGGACGAUAAUGACGGUACCCUAUGAAUAAGCCACGGCUAACUACGUGCCAGCAGCCGCGGUAAUACGUAGGUGGCAAGCGUUAUCCGGAUUUACUGGGUGUAAAGGGUGUGUAGGCGGGACUGCAAGUCAGAUGUGAAAACUAUGGGCUCAACUCAUAGCCUGCAUUUGAAACUGUAGUUCUUGAGGGUCGGAGAGGUAACCGGAAUUCCUGGUGUAGCGGUGAAAUGCGUAGAUAUCAGGAGGAACACCGGUGGCGAAGGCGGGUUACUGGACGAUUACUGACGCUGAGACACGAAAGCGUGGGGAGCAAACAGGAUUAGAUACCCUGGUA